rnacentral:lncRNA from 1 species
AUUUUCUAGAGCUGAUUGGUACAUUCAUUUAAAAAAAAUCAUUUUUUCUGUGGUGUGCAUCUUGUAAAUACCAUUGUCAGCCACGCUAUCAGAAGGGUGUGCUUGGGAACAUCAGUCUGGCCUGUAAACUUUCAGUGUAUGUGGCAUGAUGUAGGAAACAGACUCAUUCUGCUGUUCCCUGGGUAAAAGGAGAGCUCCCAGGAAUGUUGGCAGAUGAUAAGCAGAAAUGCCAGAACACUAAUCCUUCAGAGCAAAUCUUCUCAUUGCUACACUUUGACUAACAUGUUGCUGUGAACAGGACCUGGAAAUGAGCCUGGAGUCCAGUGGUACUAGAAGGAAACCACAGCACAGCUGGAAGAGGCAGAAUGUGAGAAAUCCAUGGAUACAGGCAGUCCUGCACAGCAGUACAGUUGAUUGACCUUACAUGGCUUGCUGCAGCCCAAGCUCCACUGAGCAUCUCACUGGAGAAGAACCAGAUCAGCUAACCAGACAGCACUCCAGAGAGAAAUUUUAAGUUUGAAACAUACUGUGGAAAACGGAUUGAAAAUUCCAGCUGACAGAAGCAAUCCCUUCUAGAUAAAUAGGAUUUUACUGUUUAUGCAUCAGCAUGGCAUUGGAAAAAUGCAGAUGGAUAGUGACUCAAGGUGGAUAACAAGAUGCAUUGCCAGCAGAUGAAGAUUAAAAGCAUUAUGAAGAUUAUGAAGAUUAUGAAGAUUAAAACAUUAAAAGUAAAUGUUAACUUUCAUGACUCCAAGUGAACUACUGAUACCCCUCUCAUCAUGAAGCCUAUAAAACUCACAGGAUACAGCUAAUAGCCCCUUCUGCUGAGCCCUGAAAUGCUGGAGAAUGUUCAGAGCUACUCAGCUUCUGCUAGGACAUUCCAAGAGGAGUCUUUGUGCCCUUGGAUCCUUAAUGAGCAGACUGACAAUGAAUGUGUAGCCUCAUACCCCUGAGUAAAAUCGGACCUCUCAGGAAUGCUGGCAUGAGACAAGAAGAAAUGCCGGAAUACUAAUUCUCUGGUGCAAAGCUCCUCAUCCCAACAUUUCUGCUAAGAUGUGGCUGAGCAAUGGACAUUGGAGAUGCAAAUGUCACAGCGAACUGUAUCUGGGCAGUGGGUGCUGUUUGAGGAGACAUUCAGAAUGCCAUUUUCAUCAGAUGACAAAGCAGGCGAACAGCUCCAGUUACAAAGCAGCACUGUGCUGACCUCCGGGAGCUGCUGGUAUGAGAAGGUGGUGGUGUCUACUCUGCUGGAGCUGUAAGAGCACUGUCAUAAAACCCUAACAGGAAGGCUCAGAGCCUGGAGUCCAGUGGUACUAGAAGGAAACCACAGCACAGCUGGAAGAGGCAGAAUGUGAGAAAUCCAUGGAUACAGGCAGUCCUGCACAGCAGUACAGUGUGAGCAUGGUGUUGACAUUCCCCACAGUGAAGAGGGCAUCCAGACAUGCCAUCCAGACAUGAAAACAGAUUACACUCCAUUUUCUGAAAGUUCCUAUAAAAUAUUCUGAGUUGGAAAGACUACACAAGAAUGAUCAAGUCCAACUCCUGUCUGCACAUAGGACUACCUAAAAAUUAAACCAUAAUUCUGAGAGUGUUUAAAUGCCCAUCUAGUAUGGCAGCAGCAGAGGUCUAACCAUGGCCACGUAAGGUGUCUGACUGGCUCCAGAGCCUCUCGUUUGUUCGCAUGCUAUUUUCACAAGACAAAAAAUUCCUGAUGCUGCAAUGGACUUAUGCCAUGAAGGACUGGAUCUUUCCUCCAGAAGGCAUUCACUGUGGCCCUGAGUCUUUCACUACUGCAUCACAGUUCUCGGAAUACACAGUACUUUGCCUUGACAUCUCCAAUUUCUUGAAAAGCAAAGGAAAAUUCACACAGCAGAGGGGGAAAAAAAGCAAAAAACAAAACAAAAAAACAUAAACAAAUUUUGUUCUACUUUCCCUUGAAAUUAUGUUGUUCAAUCCCUUUUUCAUGCUGAAACAUCUAUAACUCUAAUUAUUUCUCAGCACCAAAAAAACUCAUGUCUGACAGACACUCAGAGGCCUUACGAAACACAAACAUGCUGCCCUACAAACACCAACUCUUGGCUAUCAUAGAAUCACAGAAUUUCUAUGUUAUGAUAUUGACUUUCCUUGUCUUGUGUUCAGAGAGCAUGAAUAGAGGAGAUAGAGGCACUCAUGAGAACUGUUGAAGUGUGACAGUGGAGCACGAUCAAGAACUCUUGAGUUUGUGGCUCAGUACAAACUACACUCUCAUCUCUGCAUCUUGGAGCAACAACAACAUCAACCUUGUAGCCUGUUUAGUUAGAAAGAAAUUCCACAUCCAAUAUCUCCAUGUAAUUACCAUGGAACCAUCUGCAGACCUUCUGUUUAAAUCCUCUGCUCCUUCUACCCUGGGCUGCUCUGAACAUGACCUCCUGGACAGUUGCACUGACAUAAGAAGUUGCCACUGACCUGGCCUCCAUUUCAAAUGGAUUGAUCUUUUCUACCUAGAGAGGAUCAAAUAAAGUCAGUCCUGGCAGACCGUAGGAGAAUCACCUAGGAAAGUUUAAGAAUGGAUCUUCUUGGGAGUCAGUAUGCGUGAUGGAAGAUUUAACCUUGGCAGCUGGUGAAUUCCAGUACCAAAAAGUACCUGAUAAUGAGUUGUCAUCUCUCUGAAGAAGCACAGCAUAACUAUCACUAUCACACAGUUCAUGCUCUCAUGAGAGCAUUGGGUACCUUUGUUAUUGUCUCUAGAUUCUGUUAGUUAAACACUCAUCCUAGAGCAGCUGCACAAUGGACUUCAUAGACAUUUAGAGGAGGUGUGCUCAAAUCAGAUGGGUAUCCAGUAAAUGGAUGCCAAAAAACAGGACACUCUGAUACAUGAAUCUUCUUCACCAAAUGGAGGAUGCUUUUAAAAAGAUAUUUAGUUGUUUCCUUUGUACUGGGAUCCACAGGCUCUCCCACGCUCUGUCAUGAAGCUUUUUGUGAUCCUGAUCAGCACCAGCUCCUUUUACUUGACUGCAAAUUUGAAGAGAACACAUUCACAUGAAAGAUUAGCAGAAGAUCUCAAGAUGGCACCAAUCUCACCCUGCCCGUUCAAUGUCAUGCCACCAGCAGUUUCACCUGGAAAGAUGCUUGGUUAAUUCUGCUCAUAUCAAAAAGGAGCUCAGUGUAGGAGAAGCAGGAAAGCCAAGAGUGCCUACGGAUAGCAGCCUGCAGCAGACCAGGGUACCCUCUGCAAGAUGAAGCUUCAGGACAGGAGAGGCAGAGAAGGGGGAUGAGAGUCAGGAUUUCUUCUUCCCACUGUGACAGGCAUUCUAGAGUCCCAGCCUCUCCUCCAGAGCCCUGCAGCCAGAGCACAGCUACCAGAAGAGCUGCUACAGUCGCUCUUCCCUGUGGAUCAGUCAGGCGUGCGGUGGAGCUGGCAGUGUGGUUAAUGCCUCAUACUAACCUUCCAAUAGUCACAUCCUUCAGAGAACCCAUGUGCUGUCUUUUCUCAGCAGAUGGCCCAAUGCAAAUAAGGCCUUGCACAGGGACAAGUGCCUGUUCAUGUCAGUUCAGUAUCUCAUGUAUUAAUAAAUGACUGGUGAAUUUCAAAGCAUUCUUUGGUCCAGACCACCUGUCUUUGCCCUGGUCCAGUGAGUACAAAAGGCUGGGACACAAAUUUACUAAGAUUUCAACCCAUUUGAUUGAGUUUGGUGAUAACAUCUGAGCCAUGUAGUUUUACCAGGUUUAGAACAGCUCAGCCUUCAGUGAGAGCCGGUUGCUGGCUGGUAGCACACACGGCACCCAAAGGACAGUGCACCUCAGCGGCUCCGUUCUGCCACCUGCUGGCAACUUGUGCCCGGAGUUCAAAUAGAGCAGGGCUGCCAGUGUGAGCUCCCUGUGACUGACAGGAGCUGCUGGAGCCCGAGGCUGAGGAGAAAGCUCGUGGGGACUGUGUGCUCCAGAACAGGCCAGGGAGGUAAGGGGAUAGGCGCAGCCACUCUCCCAGCUGAUGUCUCUGGGCCUUGACUUCCUCUACCUGAUUGCCUGUGGGGACUGAACUUUCUGCAAGCAUCUGAAGCUGGGAGUAAGCUCUGCCUCUGACUUCAUCCUCAACCACUGAGGCUGCAAGGAGAGGUGGCUGUGCACUCUGAGGGGAACAGCUCAUCUUUUUCAUCUGUUGACACCCGGGAGAGGUGAUCACCUCCACCACACGCACUCCAAGCUGAACACCGACAGUUCCUGUGCAGCUGCCAUGCUCCUGGUGGCACAGCACAUCCCAGCAGAGCAGGGCAAGCACCCAGGCACUGCACUCACACACUGCCAUUCCACCGGCUGCAGAGGGGCCUCUCUGGCCUGCUUCUGACUGUUAACAUUGCAGCUGAGAAAGGAGCUGUGCCGGACGGAGCAAGACUUUCAGGGAUAAGAAUAGCACCUGCCAUCUUAGGACACAGCGCAGUUGUCCAGCUCCUGCACGGCAACACGUUGCAGUGAGAUAUAGAAGGCAAGCUACCCGCUGAGGAAUGUCUUCGAGUGCUAUUCGUGGAGGCGUAUCAUCUACAGCAGCAGGCCCGGCCCCACGCAGGAGCCUUGCAAGAGGGGUUAUUUUGAGCCUUGGGCACUGAGGAUGAAGGGAGACAAAUGACAGUGAUCCUCCUCCUGGCACAGGCAACCUCCAGAGCUCUGUGCACAACUGCCACAGCCUGUCACUGCUUCAGGGGAUGACUCUUGUGAAGCAGUUGGGCGAUGUGGUGGGACCUGAGAGCCCAGGAGAUGAGGGCCAGGAGGGAGCUGAGAAUUCGCUGGGGACACGGGGGCAGGCCUCAGGCCCACCUGUCCUGCAGCUCAGGCGCUCCACUGCCUGCUUUGUUUUUGACCACAUCCCUAAAGCAUCGGCACGUAACUUUGUGCAGGUGAACACCGUGAUCAGAGGAGACACCGUUAGACUUAUGAUUUGAUAGCUGCUUCAUCUUCAGAGAAUUACCUGCCCUUUCAUAUCAGUGCUUGUUGUAACAUUUUUCUUCGUACAGGUCAUCAAAGAAACUAGUUUCAAGUGCCACACUUACCAGUUUGUCCAGGAGCCUUCUUAUUCUUCUUCAGAGCUGCUGCCUUCACUCUUCCCUUUGGCUGUCUUUGUAGUUUCCUUACUUUCUUCUAACAUGAUGACGUAUCCUUGAGCUUCUAUGGUGGAGCCAAUGGCAGUAUAGGGUCUGCAGUGUAGAAUUUCAGAGAGUCUCAGAGAUUUAUGUUUCUACAGGGUUGCCCUGCCAUUACAGUUAAUGGCGAUGUUCAUUAGAUGCUACAGCAUCUAGACUCUACUCAGCUCAUUGGCGGCUUUGGAGAAGACUGAAGGUGUGAGGUGUGUGUGGCCAGGUAGGGUAGAUUAUACUGUUACAGAUAGGCAGCUGUGGAGCAGUGAAGAUCAGUGAAGCUGUGAAGAUAUGCAGCUGUGGCUGCAACUUCACAGCAGUGUGUCUGCUUGAAGGCUGAGCUGUUGGCAUGGACUAACAAAGCUUAGACCAAGAAACUGUCCUUAUCACUUCCCAUGACAACCAAGGAGCUCCACUCACAAGCUUUCCAUUUAAAACACUGUAAGCAAACCAAGGUUGAAAGCACUCAGAGGCUACCUGUCUCAGCUUUGGGCACAGUCAUUUUCUGCACAUUUUCCUUCAGCCCAUAGCACUAGUCCCACUUCCAUCCUUGCUGCCCUGCUAGGCUUGGUACUCCAUGGAGGACCAACUUCUACUUCUGAAUAGCAGCUCUUGUACAAUAGACAGAGUUGGAAACCCAUGGACGCUCACAAAAUUUCAGCAUCAACACAUCCCCUGUUCUUUGUUCUUACAUGGGCUCCUUACUUCUCUUCAGUUGCACCUGACUCCUCAGCUACUGCUAAUGGCUCCUCAUCCAUUCCACAUCAGUCUGUACCAAGGGCUCCUGCAGUGUGGAGUGAUGGGCUUGAAUGGCAAAUGUUUCAGCCAGGGGAAAUGCUGCAACGCUGGGUGUAAUUGUGCAAAUUUAAAUUACAUAAAGGAUCACUAAAUUCAGUUAAUGGACCUCAGUUACCACUAACCUGGAUUUGAUUCAUUGUAUGCUCAGCCCUGUGGCCUUUAUUCUUUCUGAGAGAAUCCUGAAGGACCAUGUGGUCUUCCUGAAAAUAAGAGACAGAAGAAAAUAAGAUGUACAUAUCUGCCAUCCAUUUAGGCUGACAUCUUUGCACAUGCUUUUGACAUACAGUGAUGUUCUCCAUAUGCCUUUCACCCCAGCCAAAGACCAUUUGCAGUGUAAAAAGGCUUCAGCCAAGACAGCUCAUGGAAGGCAGGAGACAACGGCUAUACUUCCCCCACAUGCAUCCUGUUUAGAACGGGGUCUGAAAGGAGGGAAAAGCAUUUGCCAAUUUCCCCCUUCCCUUCAGACCCCCAGGCCCCCAUAAUACUGUCAGCUCAGCCUGUGUGCAGGCCAAAAGGGAAGUCCAGCUAUCUGAGGGAGUAAAAUACCCAUCAGCUUUCUUCUUUUCCCUUGCUUGAGGCUGUGCCACACACAGCCUGUUGUGCAAGAGCUGACAAGGCUGACAUUUGAGGUGAUGUGUUGAGGCGGUGCGUUCUUCUAUGCAGCAUGUGGAAAAUGAGCCCUGAGGGGACUUUCUUCCAGCAGGUGGCCCCAGGCAGGGCUCAGCCUUUUGUCACAUUGGAGGGAAACCACAAAUAGGUGGCAUCAGCUCAGAGAAUCUAAAGUAAGAGAAAAUGCACAGUUUAGAGGCACCAUCAAAGUGUCAGAACAGUGCACUAAUUUUGGUGUCUGCAGGAAAUUGUUUCUGCCGAUGAUCUGUCUGUCCUUCAUGGUGUGAUACACUGUGUCAUCUGAUAGCUUAGUUAGAGACCCGUGUUCAGGAUCUGUGAUUGUCAGGAUCACAACCCAUAGCAGUAAAGGGAAAAAGGGAGGAGAUUGCUCUCUCUUGCCACUCACCUGGCACAUAAGCUGUGCUGACAGGAUGCGAGGAGAAGCAUUAAGAGUAUGUGAGGGCAAGAGUAGUGCAAGGAGCUUGAAAACAAUGUAUGUAGCUGCAUCAGUAAUAUCCCAAGAUUAUUCAGGAAAAAGAAAAGAAAAAAAGAUACAAAAAGAGAUAAAAACAACAACAACAAGGAAGCCACAGUUGGUAGUGUUUAUGCAUAUUAAUCUAUGGCUUUUAUUCUCUAGACAUUGACAUGAUUACAAAGACAUUGCAGAAGAAAGCGACAGAGGGUUCACAUUUUGUGCACUCCUCAGGCAGCUUUGCUGCUUCAUGACAUCCUCACUCUUCCUCUUCAAUCCUCCUAUGGAAUUCCCGGCUCUUUGCUCGGAGCUUGUUGACCUGUGACUCUGCAAUGUCAGCCCGCUCCUCAGCCUCCUCCAGCUCGUGCUGGAUCUUGCGGAACUUGGAAAGGUUGACAUUGGACAGCUCCUCAGCCUCCUCAGAUUGUCUCUUGUAGGAUUUCACCUUCAUCUGUAGUUUGUCCACCAGAUCCUGGAGUCUAAGAAUGUUCUUGCGAUCUUCCUCAGACUGGUAGGUCAGCUCCUUCACCCUCCUCUCGUACUUGCGCACACCCUUCACGGCUUCAGCGCUGCGCUUCUGCUCAGCAUCAACCUCCCCUUCCAGCUCCCGCACCUGCAAUGAGAAACCCAUAUUUGAAGCUUCCCUGCUAUCUCUGACCUGGGAUUGCACACGCUUGCACAAAUACCAGCCCUACGCACCCUGGCCUCCAGCUUCUGAAUUUGCUUCUUGCCUCCCUUCAGGGCCAGCUGCUCUGCCUCAUCCAGGCGGUGCUGCAGGUCCUUCACCGUCUGGUCCAGGUUCUUCUUCAUCCUCUCCAGGUGGGCACUGGUGUCCUGCUCCUUCUUC